GCUGUUCUGGCCGAAUGUUCUAAGGCCCGGCGCACAGGUCGCAGUCCUCUUCGGAGGGCGCAGGUUCGAAUCCUGCGGACAGCA
rnacentral:tRNA from 1 species